GGCGUAGCUCAACGGAUCAGAGCAUUGGACUUCUAAUCCAACGGUUUAAGGGUUCGAAUCCCUUCGUCUG
rnacentral:tRNA from 1 species